GCUGGGCACAGUGGUGCGUGCCUGUAGUCCCAGCUACUGGGUAGGCUGAGGUGGGUAGAUUGCUUGAGCCCAGGAGUUCAGGGCUGUAAUACGCUAUGCCGAUCGGGUGUCCACACUGAGUUCAGCAUCAAAAUGGUGACCUCCCGGGAGCUGGUGACUACCAGGUUGCCUAAGGAGGGGUGAACCGGCCCAGGUUGGAAACAGAGUAGGUCAAAACUCCCGUGCUGAUCAGUAGUGGGAUUGCACCUGUGAAUAGCCACUGCACUCCAGCCUGGGCAACAUAGCGAGACCCCCUCUCU
rnacentral:SRP_RNA from 1 species